rnacentral:rRNA from 1 species
UGGGGAAUAUUGGGCAAUGGGCGAAAGCCUGACCCAGCGACGCCGCGUGGGGGAAGAAGGUCUUCGGAUUGUAAACCCCUGUCCCAUGGGAAGAAAAAAAUGACGGUACCAUGGGAGGAAGCCCCGGCUAACUACGUGCCAGCAGCCGCGGUAAUACGUAGGGGGCGAGCGUUGUCCGGAAUGACUGGGCGUAAAGGGCGCGUAGGCGGGCUGGUAAGUCCGAUGUGAAACCCCUGUGCUUAACACAGGGCAUGCAUCGGAAACUGUCGGUCUGGAGUGCAGGAGAGGAAAGUGGAAUUCCUAGUGUAGCGGUGAAAUGCGUAGAUAUUAGGAGGAACAUCAGUGGCGAAGGCGGCUUUCUGGACUGUAACUGACGCUGAGGCGCGAGAGCGUGGGGAGCGAACA